UUUUUCUGUAAGUAGACUAUUUCUUCCUGUGUAUACAGCAAUAUUGAUUCUAUUUUAAAGAGCAAGCUAAGAGUCUCAUCAACACUGUGCACAAGAAAUUCAUCCGCCAAGCCCUAGGUUUCUGUUUCCUCUGCUACACGCUGGCAGCUCUAGUAUGCCUGGGAAAGAAGCAGCAGACAAAAGACUUUGAGCCUGGGACUACCUCCCUCUUCUGUUCUCAGCAGGAGCCUCAGCACAGAGACCUGAAAAGAUGGUGCUAAGUCUCCUGGGACGCUGUCCUCUGUUCCUAUUGCUGCUGGGACUAUGGGUGCUGGUGCAUCCACUUUGUGCUUGGCCUAAGUCUCUCACCCAGGCUCGCUGGUUUGAAAUUCAGCAUAUACAGCCAAUCCCUCUCCAAUGCAACAAGGCAAUGAAUGGUGUCAAUAAUUAUACCAAGCACUGUAAACCUGAAAACACCUUUCUACAUGACUCCUUCCAGAACGUGGCUUCUGUCUGCAAUUUGCGCAGCAUCAUCUGCAAGAAUGGCCAGAAAAACUGCCACCAGAGUUCCAGGCCUGUUCACAUGACCCAGUGCAGUCUCACAUCAGGGACGUAUCCUAACUGCCGCUACAGGGAUGCUGCCCCAUACAAGUUCUUCAUUGUUGCCUGUGAACCCCCUCAGCAGGGUGACCCUCCAUAUCACUUGGUUCCUGUACACUUAGAUAGUAUUGUUUAAAGUUUCCACCAUUUUCCCCUCACUUGGCACAGGUUCUCUUAUAAUCUCCUCUGCUUUUUUUUUUUUUUCUUUUAUUGAUUUUCCUGGUUCCCAUAGAAGAAAGAAGGAAGAUAUUGGGAAAAUUAGAUUGCCUAAGACACCAGACCAGAGUUGGGACAAAAAGAAAUGGGAUCUUUUCUGCUUUGGAGCUUUGUGUGUUUUGAAGGAAGGCAACAAGGAAGAGGGCAAAGAAAGAUCCAGGACUCUGUAUUUUUAACCUUGGAACUUCUGCCAAGAUUUGUAGCUCUCUGUUCACAGCAAUAAAACUACUUUCUUCUGCAUUCUAAUGAGUGAAGAAGAAGGAGAAACAGGAGGAGCAGAAGAAGCAGAUGCAGAAGCAGCAGAUGGAGGAGGAGGAGAAGAAGGAGAAAGAGAAGGAGAGGAAGGGGAAGGGGAACGGGAAAGAGAAGGAGAAGGAGAAGAAGAGAAAAGAAGAGGCGGGGAAGGAAGAGGAGGAGGAAGGAGAAGAGACAGAGACCAUGUGUGGCCCACAAAGGUGAGAUAUUUCCAGAAAAGGUGUGCUGACUUCUGGUCUACCAGACUGCUCAAUGGAACUCGUCCUCUGGCUGUGGCUGAGGCAGGGGCUUGGAAUUCAGCAGGAGGGAAGAUACCCCGCAGGCUGAGAGUUUUUAGCUGGAGCCUCAGGAAAGUAAUGGAAUCAGGACAGGAAAAAUAUUUGGCCUUUCUCUGUCUCUCGUUAAUCUUCUUUUCUGUGCAUUAUUUCAGUCCUUCUGCAACAUACUCGUUUUCCUCUGCUUUUCUGUUUCACACAGUAAGUAGACGUUCAUCUCACUUUCUAUUUUUCUCUUAAAUACAGUUUAUUGGUGAAGGGUAUCUGACUGACCUACCUGGAUCAGUCAAUCAUACACUUGGACAGAGUCCAAUUGCACAAAAUAGAUCUCAAGAGGCUUUUGUUUUUUUGUAAACCACGCAGAAUAUAGGAUUAGAGACAGAACUGCAAGUGGAGUCUGCCCUGGCAGACAACUUAGGGACCCCCUCACACUAUGGAACAUUUUUUAAGCUUUCAACAUUUUUUGUCUUCCUGCAGUGGCUUAAGUAGGCCAGGGCCAGCAGUGCCUGGACUGAGACCUACAUGGGCUGCCAUCCUGUUUCUCCUCUUUGACAUUUUCUCUGAUCCUCUACCCUCCCUCCCAGCACAGGAAGUCCUGAGGAACUUCAGGAUCCAUGUCUAUAUUGGCAUCUCUGGGCCACUUUCCACAUCUGGUUCCGGGAGAGUUAGCCCUGGGUUAGAGAUGUCGGUGUUCAGAGAAAAUGAGUUGAAUAGACAAUUCAACACAAGUCCCAUACCCACUCAGUGUGGAAACAGAAUUUGAGUAUCAGUCCAAUGACUGUACUUUUAAAGAACAAAAGGAAAUUUAUAUUGACUAGAGAUGUGGAGCCAGUAAAAACAUUAUGCCACUCUACAGUUUUACUUACUGUCUUAGGUCAAUACUUUAAUUAGUUCCAGUGGGGGAAAAAAGUAUAUAAUCUAGAGCUGUUUCUAUUCUCUAAUUUAAUACUGUGAAUAUUUUGCCUUCAAGUCACCUUUUUAAUUUGUAAAGUUAUUUUUGAAAAUACCAUACUAUCUAGGCCGUGCUAAUAAAAAUAGAGAAACUGUU